rnacentral:rRNA from 1 species
AUUGAACGCUGGCGGCAUGCCUUACACAUGCAAGUCGAACGGUAACAGGUCUUCGGAUGCUGACGAGUGGCGAACGGGUGAGUAAUACAUCGGAACGUGCCUAGUAGUGGGGGGUAACUACUCGAAAGAGUGGCUAAUACCGCAUGAGAUCUACGGAUGAAAGCAGGGGAUCGCAAGACCUUGUGCUACUAGAGCGGCCGAUGGCAGAUUAGGUAGUUGGUGGGAUAAAAGCUUACCAAGCCGACGAUCUGUAGCUGGUCUGAGAGGACGAUCAGCCACACUGGGACUGAGACAAGGCCCAGACUCCUACGGGAGGCAGCAGUGGGGAAUUUUGGACAAUGGGCGCAAGCCUGAUCCAGCAAUGCCGCGUGCAGGAUGAAGGCCUUCGGGUUGUAAACUGCUUUUGUACGGAACGAAAAGCCCUGGGUUAAUACCCUGGGGUCAUGACGGUACCGUAAGAAUAAGCACCGGCUAACUACGUGCCAGCCGCCGCCGUAAGAC